rnacentral:rRNA from 1 species
CCUACGGGAGGCUGCAGUGGGGAAUAUUGCGCAAUGGGCGAAAGCCUGACGCAGCGACGCCGCGUGAGGGAUGAAGGUCUUCGGAUCGUACACCUCUGUCAGCAGGGAAGUACGGUCACUGAGCUAAUCAGCAGUGAAUUGACGGUACCUGCAAAGGAAGCACCGGCUAACUCCGUGCCAGCAGCCGCGGUAAUACGGAGGGUGCGAGCGUUAAUCGGAAUUACUGGGCGUAAAGCGCGAGUAGGCGGUAUGUCAAGUCAAGGGUGAAAUCCCCGCGCUCAACGUGGGAACUGCCUUUGAAACUGGCAAACUGGAGUGUGUUAGAGGUAAGUGGAAUUCCAGGUGUAGGAGUGAAAUCCGUAGAUAUCUGGAGGAACAUCAGUGGCGAAGGCGACUAUCUGGCACAUAACUGACGCUGAGGAGCGAAAGCGUGGGUAGCAAACAGGAUUAGAUACCCGUGUAGUC